ACGAGAAAGUCUCCGCAAGGGGAUGAGUAAAGUGGCGACCGGGUGAGUAACACGUAGCUAACCUACCCUCAAGUGGGGGAUAACCUGGGGAAACCUGGGCUAAUACCGCAUCACAUCCCGAUGGCGCAAGCUGUUGGGAGUAAAGGCCCGCAAGGGUCGCUGGAGGAGGGGGCUGCGGCCGAUUAGCUAGUUGGUGAGGUAACGGCCCACCAAGGCGAUGAUCGGUAGCCGGCCUGAGAGGGCGCACGGCCACACUGGCACUGACACACGGGCCAGACUCCUACGGGAGGCAGCAGUGGGGAAUUUUGCACAAUGCCCGAAAGGGUGAUGCAGCAACGCCGCGUGAGGGAUGAAGGCCUUCGGG
rnacentral:rRNA from 1 species